rnacentral:lncRNA from 1 species
GCCAGGCAUAGACUUCAGGGUAGCAGAUAUUUGUCCUCAUCACUUUGAAGCUAUCAUUCCAUUUUAUUUGAGCCUCCAUUGUUAAUUUAAUUGUCAUUUCUUUGUAGGAUUGUUUUGUUUUAUCUUUGGUAUUCUGCAUAAUGAGUUGCCAAAAAGGCAAUGAUUGGCACUUAGGAUAGAAGAGUUCAUUACUCUGAAGCUAAAUAUAAAAAGACUUCCUGAAUAUUCAGCCUGUGAAAAAAAUAUUCUGCUGGUUUGUGGUGAUUUGGGAAGUUAAUUUAAACUUCACAUGGGGCUGUGUAUUAAAGAAAAGACAUAUUUAUGGCAUGUACACAAUUCAGCAACUGAUGUAUACUCCAUUUCUUGAGCUACAAUACAGUGUCAAGAGGGUCAAAUGACUUUUCUUGCAAAUAGAAAAAGACCACAGGAGAGAUAAAAGGAAGAUUAAAAAAGAAACAAAACAUAAAGAAAAGAUCACAAUAUUAUGUUUCAAAUCUUAAAAACAUGGAAGGGGAGGAAGAAAUUUUGAACACUUGCUGUGUUGUGCAACAGUAUGUUGUACAUUUUUAAUGACAAAGGAGAGAUCAGCAUGAGAUUUCUUUAAUUUAUAUCAAAACCAGUGGUUUACAAACUAUACAAAGCAUCUUUGAAUACAAGGCAAAGCAAGAAGUAGGACAAUACUACUUUUCUUUCUUUGGUUAAAUGAGGCUUGUUGUUGGCAUUACAUAGGUUUUAUAAAACACAAUGCUAGAAAUGAAAUUCUGCAUUUACAAGGUAUUAGAGGAAGGACAAUGGCAUUUAGCUUAUAACUGUAUUGUGUCUCAGCAACUAUUAUGUCAAAAUUCGUAGUUAUUCCCCAUAAGGCUUAGGGAAUAUCUUCAUGUUCUUAUAGUAGCUUAGAAGAAAUGGGGUGAUU